rnacentral:rRNA from 1 species
UACGUAGGGGGCUAGCGUUGGCCGGAAUCAUUGGGCGUAAAGGGCGUGUAGGCGGCCCGGUAAGUCCGCUGUGAAAGUCCAGGGCUCAACCCUGGAAAGCCGGUGGAAACUGUCGAGCUAGAGUCCGGAAGAGGCGAGUGGAAUUCCUGGUGUAGCGGUGAAAUGCGCAGAUAUCAGGAGGAACACCAAUGGCGAAGGCAGCUCGCUGGGACGGUACUGACACUGAGACGCGAAAGCGUGGGGAGCAAACAGG